rnacentral:lncRNA from 1 species
UAUUUGUUACUGUGAGCUGUGAGGAGCAAUUUUAGGGAUCAAUUUUAGGCAACAAAAUCAAUCUACUUUAGGCUGUAAUUCCUUCAUCAAAGGGAAUUAAAUCACACAAAAUUGUAUAGUCCAAAAAUAGGCUUGUACCUCUUCCUAUUUAACUGUACCAUUCUCAUUGUAAGGAAAAAAAAUGAAAAAGAAUAUAUUUCCUACAUGGUAUCAGAGCAUGGUACCCGAUCCAGCAACUUCUGUAGCCAUAUUCUAGCUGUGCUCUCUUGAUCCUUUAUACAUACACAUGGAAGACAUUAUUGACCCAGAGAACCUCAACCACCUACCACCCCAAACCAACACGCUCUUUACAGAACUCACAACACACAUGACUGAGGCUUUAAACAAGGCACAAACACCAAACCCAACUACAGAACCUUCGCCCCAAAUUGGCAUCAAAUUGGAUGGCUCCAACUAUGCUCUAUGGUCUCAAGUUAUGGAGAUGAACAUAGAUGGAAAAGACAAGCUUUGUUACUUGAAUGGAGAUGCACCUCCACCGUCAUCGACCGACCCAUCCUUACGCAAAUGGCGCACAGAAAUUGCGAUUGUCAAAGGAUGAAUAAUAAGCUCGCUGGACCCCCACACUUAUUGGCAAAUUCAUACGGUUCUCUACGGCCAAGGAGGUUUGGGAUGCAAUUGCAACUACUUUCUUUGAUGGGAAUGAUACUUCCUGUAGGUAA